CAUAGUCAUCUAUAAAAGGCUCCGAAAUCACAAAUGUAAAACAAUCUAUACGCGAAAACUAUCGGCCUAAUUACAAACAAAAUGAACUAAAACAAAUUGGUAACACAGCAACAAACCACAACCACUGAGAUGCAGGCUCCUAACUUGGACAUGCAUAUACAUACAGAAUGUGGCGGGGUUAAACAUGUUAGCGGAAUCCCCACCCUCCCCCAACCUUGGACAGUGGUGUUGCAGUACAACAUAAGAACAAAGUAUAAAAAUUAGUUGAGAAAUGCUUGUUAUCGACAUUGAGGCAAUCGACGAUCUCAGUACCCC
rnacentral:lncRNA from 1 species